rnacentral:lncRNA from 1 species
UCGCCUCAUGUUGUUAGCCGAGGGUUGGUCACGUAUACCGCUUCUCCUUAGUAUAUUAUGCCGUUUCCGGUCCCUUGAGGUAAGCAGGUUAGCCUGAGAUGCGCGAUGCCGUCUGCAAUUGUGCAUCUUCCAAUAGUCCAUCGAACCAUUUCACAACACCUCAUCAUGCCAAUGCCAACAAAGCAGCAGGGCAGGGUGGCAUACCGUGUUCCUAGGCCCUACCGAAGAACCGAAAGGAAGGGGCUUGCCUUGCUGCCCUGAACCCAUAGCAGAAUAGGAAGUCGACUGCCGGCCCUCAACGGUGCACUCCCGGCUAAGAGUAAUGCCCUGCUUCCAGCUAAGUAUAAAGAGUUGGGCCUACCGUUCGCGAAUUCACUCUUGGUGGCGAACCGUUAGUUAAGACCCCCUACGAGUGAACUUGGGUAAGGGCUUUUAAAGCUGGAUAAGGCGCGCAAACCGACGUUCUUCCUGUCGGAAACCACACUCAUCAAGCUUGACCUCGACUAACCUACGAUGAUUCUGGCAGCCAUAAUCGCAGGAACACAUGAGUAGCGAAAGACUAAGCCGCUCAUGCUAUGCUGCACCAACCAAUUCACACCUAUUCGGGAGAGGGUUUUGCCUCGAAUAGAGCUCUCGUACGCUCUGCCGAACGAAGACACCGGUCAAGAAAAGAAGAGGCUCCCUUCGGUGGGGACAAGGUAAAGAACUCCGCAGCUAGCGAGCCAAAGGGGAUGGAUCGUGGCGGGAAUUUCAGGCGCAGACAUCUGAGCCUGUUCAGAGACUGAACGCUAAGUCAAUCCACAAUCAAUUGAGAAAGCAACUCACAAUUUCGCUCCGCAUCAGUACCUUGUUGACUCAUGCUGCCCUGUAUUUUCUUUACUUCUGGUCGUCCCCAAACGUCGACCUAACGCUAUGUCAGGGUCACAACGGGCCGGCCUCAUGAGAUUAACUUUUUUAUAGAAUAUUGCUAAGUGUCCUUCCAACCAUCGACUUAUCCGGUCCCGCACGGAUGCUUCUAGCAAUUUCUCGCGUCUAUUGAAGCCUACCUUAUAUAGGCUAAUUCCAUUCGAUCUACUGCUGUCAGGUUUCAUCUCGUUGCAAUGUCAUCCGUCCCUGUCACUCUGGAAGAGGUAAAAAAAGCAGUCACUAGUAUGGGAGCUUACAAGGCGCCGGGCCCCGACGGCUUCCAGCCGGUAUUUUAUCAACAUUGCUUGGACACAAUCAUCGGAUCUGAUUUAAUACGAAUGGUCCAGCUAGCUUUCGAGACGGCCACAUUAGAAAACCAGAUCAAUGCUACCCACCUAGUGCUCAUUCCGAAAACCCAAGCUCCGCAAUCGCUCAACCAAUACCGCCCCAUCCGCCUAUGUAACGUCGCGUAGAAAAUUAUAACAAAGGUGAUAACGAACCGUCUAAGAAAGAUCAUGCCCAAACUGAUUUCACCUGCUCAAAGCGCCUUCGUCCCCGGCAGGCUUAUAUCAGAUAAGAUUUUCAUUACCCACGAGGUGCUUUCCCAUUUACGACGGUCGAAGGCAAAGAAGGGUUGUAUGUGUAUCAAGUUGGACAUCGAAAAGGCAUACGACAGUCUGAAUUUGGACUUCCUUGAGACUAUACUAUAUAAAAAGGGAUUUUAUUCCCAUUGGAUUCGUCUGGUAAUGACAUGUGUACGGACCCCAACCUUCUCAGUACUAGUUAACGGAACUCAGACUGAUUCAUUCAAACCUACACGAGGCUUACGUCAGGGGGACCCUCUCCCCCCGUACCUCUUCAUCCUGUGCGCGGAAACACUGUCAGCGGCUAUCCACAAGGCAACCGAACUAGAUCUAGCUGACCCCAUCAGAGUGUCCAGAUCGGGCCCACCACUAUCACAUUUAGUGUUUUCCGACAAGACCAUAAUUUUCAUACGCGCAAACCAGAAGUCUUGCCGGACAAUCAAGCAAAUACUGGACCUGGACCACAUGGAAUCGGGCCAGAAGGUCAAUCUUUCCAAAUCUGUUGCCAAUUUAUCCACAGGAGUCCCAAACAGGAAGAAGGAAGUCUUAAAAAAACUGCUAGGUAUCACAAAGACAUCGCCAAUGCAGUCCUACUUGGGCAUUUCCCCUCUGACGCGUAGGCCAUCGCGUAACGAAUUUAAGGCAACUGUAAGCAGAGUAGAAAAUCGCCUUCAAGGUUGGAAAGCUCAACUGUUAACUUUUGCUGGUCGCCUUACGCUCAUAAAAUAAGUCACGGCUGGCAUAUCCAACCACAGAAUGAGCUCUUUCAAGAUACCAUUAUCAACAGUUGACCACCUGGAGUCUUUACAAAGAGACUUUCUGUGGUCAAAUGGGAACAAAGGAAAAAUCUAUGCGGUAAACUGGCAAACGGUAUGUCAGCCUUUGGACGAAGGAGGUCUAGGCAUUCGGUCUCUUUACUUAACUUAACAAACCAAGCAUUCCAGGCUAAGCUCCUCUGGUGCCUCCUCCCGUGUACGGACUCACUUUGAUGUGACGUCAUGCGAGCCAAAUCUUUCCCCCACGGCAACCCUCUAGAUGCGGGCAUUCCAUCCAAUAAUUCCUCAUACGCAUGGAGAUCAAUUGGGGACGACUUUCGUCGGGAAGGACGGUCUGUCCCAGAACCAAUAAGAGCAGAAGGCAAAGUAGUGUCAAUUCCACCGGACAAGGAAUAUUGAAGAGUAAAAGAAUAAUGAGCUCUUUCAUCCGCUAAGGCAUCAUAAGAAAGAUAGGCAGAAAGAUAUGCUGAAAGAGGCCGCCCUGAAGCUGGUGAAAAUUGGGCCGUAGAUCAUGACCAUAGCUUUCCUCGCAGCACCGAACUCUAAGCGAGUGGUUCUUCACGAAGAAUUGUUGGCAUGCCUCCAGCGGGACUAUAGGACAGCAAAAGUCGAAGCUUAUGAAUGAGGUUCGACUUUCCACACCAAAAGUCUCUUCCUAUCUUGUCCCAAGGCAGAUCCAAAGCCAGUGGCUUACCUAAGAGCAUGACCGCUAAGCAUUGCUGCUUUCUAUUCUCGCGCGGAUCUUGAAUCUAAAACACUCUUCAAUACUGUUUGGAAAGUCGUCUUGUAUUGAUCUUCUUUUUUCCUGGACAGACUAAAGGUAGAAUGGGCCUCUGUGCUUACUGCUCCUGCCGGGCUUGGUACUGUUGACGAGUCUGGACUUGCCCCUGUUGCUGAACCGGAAGAAGCUUUCUUCUAUAGCUUGACUUCGCUUGUCACAUUUCUCGUUUUGUUCCAGUCCCCCACUAGGAAAAAAUUCUAUUUAAGUGACGGCGGGAUGUAAGGCUCUGGUUCAGUACAUAGACUACUCUUAAAAAAAUGUAUUGAGCCAGGGUGUCAUCAUUCUUUGAAAGAGUAAUCUCCUUCCUUUCCUUCUCUGACCGAUCAAGAUAGCUUGUAAUUCAUUGAUCUGAGGGACGAGAUAUAGUAUCUAACUCAAAACAACUCUGAGAUUUCGUAUAAUUGUGAUGUUCCUACAAACGUGCGGCCUUCCUUUGAGACUGACUCCAUCUUCCCACCACGCUGUAGCAGGGCGAAAUCUCUGAUAGGUGCUGGUUCUCUUCCUCCCAAUUCGAGGAUCGCCGUGAAGCUCCGUUUUUAAAGCGUAGAACAAGCCUUUCUUUCUGAUCCCAAGUACCCGGCCCCAAGGGGUCGGAAGGCCCCAUUUCCCUACCAAGAUCUGGCCAUAUAAUGAAAGUUUUCACGCUCUUCCGAAAAGAGGAGAUUUUGGUCUUGACUUCAUACCCACCAAACGGAGUUUUUUAGUAUACUAAGGAUGACCCAUAUCGAGAAAGGGCCCGUGCUGGUACCGUACCAUUGAAGAGUGAAAUCCCGCCCCUGAUCAUGCCUCGAAGAAGGCAAUUCACGAGGAAAGGUCCCACUCAGACAUUCAGACACACACAAACACAAAGAUGACAACCGGGGCACGUUGCUAAGGAUAGGCUCCUGCUUUGACUAUAGAAUAGAUGAGCGUAGUACAACGCUCUGUGAUGUGGCUCUGCUUCCGAGGGUUAGGUCAAGGGUCGGUCGAGAACAGCUACCUUCCCGAUAGGUCGAUCCAGACUUUGAAAAGUAGCAUAGAAUAUUGCUUCGACUGCUUCGAUAUCAGAAAAAAUCAGACUCAGAGUUGGGACCUUCUGACUCUUUCCUCUGCAAGGACAGUACGAGUCUGCCGGUUCCACUUUCCUUUUUGUGGUAGUCGACGGGAAAUGGGCGC